CGGGAAACAUUUUAUUGAAGCUUCGGCAGAUUUAGCUUGUUUCUAGUGGCGGACGGGUGAGUAACGCGUGGGUAACCUGCCUUAUACUGGGGGAUAACAGCCAGAAAUGACUGCUAAUACCGCAUAAGCGCACAGAACCGCAUGGUUCAGUGUGAAAAACUCCGGUGGUAUAAGAUGGACCCGCGUUGGAUUAGCUAGUUGGCAGGGCAGCGGCCUACCAAGGCGACGAUCCAUAGCCGGCCUGAGAGGGUGAACGGCCACAUUGGGACUGAGACACGGCCCAGACUCCUACGGGAGGCAGCAGUGGGGAAUAUUGCACAAUGGGGGAAACCCUGAUGCAGCGACGCCGCGUGAAGGAAGAAGUAUCUCGGUAUGUAAACUUCUAUCAGCAGGGAAGAUAAUGACGGUACCUGACUAAGAAGCCCCGGCUAACUACGUGCCAGCAGCCGCGGUAAUACGUAGGGGGCAAGCGUUAUCCGGAUUUACUGGGUGUAAAGGGAGCGUAGACGGCGCAGCAAGUCUGAUGUGAAAGGCAGGGGCUUAACCCCUGGACUGCAUUGGAAAC
rnacentral:rRNA from 1 species